rnacentral:rRNA from 1 species
GGGGGGCCUACGGGGAGGCAGCAGUGAGGAAUCUUGCGCAAUGGGGGAAACCCUGACGCAGCAACGCCGCGUGGAGGAUGAAGGCCUUCGGGUCGUAAACUCCUGUCAGAUGGGACGAAGGCUUGCGGGCGAAUAGUCCGUAAGCUUGACGGUACCAUCAGAGGAAGCCCCGGCUAACUCUGUGCCAGCACCCG